CAAUAGCGUAUAUUAAAGUUGUUGCGGUUAAAAAGCUCGUAGUUGGAGUUCUGCCAGGUGCCGCCUGUCCGCCCCAGUGGUGAGUACGUGGCGCGCAUUUGGCCCUUUCAAGGGGAGCGUAUCUGCACUUUAUUGUGUGGUGCGGGAUCCUUGACUUUUACUUUGAGGAAAUAGGAGUGUUCCAAGCAGGCUCUCGUCGUGCACAGCUCAGCAUGGAAUAAUAGCAUUGGACCUCGAUUCUAAGCUGUUGGUUGCCAGAAGCGAGGUAAUGAUGAAGAGGGAUAGUUGGGGGCAUUCGUAUUUAACUGUCAGAGGUUAAAUUCUUGGAUUUGUUAAAGACGGACUACUGCGAAAGCAUCUGCCAUGGAUGUUUUCAUUGA
rnacentral:rRNA from 1 species